rnacentral:rRNA from 1 species
ACUUGCACACAACUUAGAUUAUUUAAGUUUAGAAUAAGUAGUUUAAGUUGUGUGCAAGU